AGAGUUUGAUCCUGGCUCAGAAUGAACGCUGGCGGCAUGCCUAACACAUGCAAGUCGAACGAGACCUUCGGGUCUAGUGGCGCACGGGUGCGUAACGCGUGGGAAUCUGCCCCUUGGUUCGGAAUAACAGUUAGAAAUGACUGCUAAUACCGGAUAAUGACGUAAGUCCAAAGAUUUAUCGCCAAGGGAUGAGCCCGCGUAAGAUUAGCUAGUUGGUGGGGUAAAGGCCUACCAAGGCGACGAUCUUUAGCUGGUCUGAGAGGAUGAUCAGCCACACUGGGACUGAGACACGGCCCAGACUCCUACGGGAGGCAGCAGUGGGGAAUAUUGGACAAUGGGCGAAAGCCUGAUCCAGCAAUGCCGCGUGAGUGAUGAAGGCCUUAGGGUUGUAAAGCUCUUUUACCCGGGAAGAUAAUGACUGUACCGGGAGAAUAAGCCCCGGCUAACUCCGUGCCAGCAGCCGCGGUAAUACGGAGGGGGCUAGCGUUAUUCGGAAUUACUGGGCGUAAAGCGCACGUAGGCGGCUAUUCAAGUCAGAGGUGAAAGCCCGGAGCUCAACUCCGGAACUGCCUUUGA
rnacentral:rRNA from 1 species